rnacentral:rRNA from 1 species
AUGAACGCUAGCUACAGGCUUAACACAUGCAAGUCGAGGGGCAGCAUGGUCUUAGCUUGCUAAGACUGAUGGCGACCGGCGCACGGGUGAGUAACACGUAUCCAACCUGCCGUCUACUCUUGGACAGCCUUCUGAAAGGAAGAUUAAUACAAGAUGGCAUCAUGAGUCCGCAUGUUCACAUGAUUAAAGGUAUUCCGGUAGACGAUGGGGAUGCGUUCCAUUAGAUAGUAGGCGGGGUAACGGCCCACCUAGUCUUCGAUGGAUAGGGGUUCUGAGAGGAAGGUCCCCCACAUUGGAACUGAGACACGGUCCAAACUCCUACGGGAGGCAGCAGUGAGGAAUAUUGGUCAAUGGGCGAGAGCCUGAACCAGCCAAGUAGCGUGAAGGAUGACUGCCCUAUGGGUUGUAAACUUCUUUUAUAAAGGAAUAAAGUCGGGUAUGCAUACCCGUUUGCAUGUACUUUAUGAAUAAGGAUCGGCUAACUCCGUGCCAGCAGCCGCGGUAAUACGGAGGAUCCGAGCGUUAUCCGGAUUUAUUGGGUUUAAAGGGAGCGUAGAUGGAUGUUUAAGUCAGUUGUGAAAGUUUGCGGCUCAACCGUAAAAUUGCAGUUGAUACUGGAUAUCUUGAGUGCAGUUGAGGCAGGCGGAAUUCGUGGUGUAGCGGUGAAAUGCUUAGAUAUCACGAAGAACUCCGAUUGCGAAGGCAGCCUGCUAAGCUGCAACUGACAUUGAGGCUCGAAAGUGUGGGUAUCAAACAGGAUUAGAUACCCUGGUAGUCCACACGGUAAACGAUGAAUACUCGCUGUUUGCGAUAUACGGCAAGCGGCCAAGCGAAAGCGUUAAGUAUUCCACCUGGGGAGUACGCCGGCAACGGUGAAACUCAAAGGAAUUGACGGGGGCCCGCACAAGCGGUGGAGCAUGUGGUUUAAUUCGAAGCAACGCGAAGAACCUUACCAGGUCUUGACAUCGAGUGACGAAUCUAGAGAUAGAUUUUUCCUUCGGGACACAAAGACAGGUGGUGCAUGGUUGUCGUCAGCUCGUGCCGUGAGGUGUCGGCUUAAGUGCCAUAACGAGCGCAACCCUUGUUGUCAGUUACUAACAGGUUUCGCUGAGGACUCUGACAAGACUGCCAUCGUAAGAUGUGAGGAAGGUGGGGAUGACGUCAAAUCAGCACGGCCCUUACGUCCGGGGCUACACACGUGUUACAAUGGGGGGUACAGAGGGCCGCUACCACGCGAGUGGAUGCCAAUCCCAAAAACCUCUCUCAGUUCGGACUGGAGUCUGCAACCCGACUCCACGAAGCUGGAUUCGCUAGUAAUCGCGCAUCAGCCACGGCGCGGUGAAUACGUUCCCGGGCCUUGUACACACCGCCCGUCAAGCCAUGGGAGCCGGGGGUACCUGAAGUGCGUAACCGCGAGGAGCGCCCUAGGGUAAAACUGGUGACUGGGGCU